AGUGAACGCUGGCGGUAGGCCUAACACAUGCAAGUCGAACGGCAGCACAGUAAGAGCUUGCUCUUACGGGUGGCGAGUGGCGGACGGGUGAGGAAUAUAUCGGAAUCUACUUUUUCGUGGGGGAUAACGUAGGGAAACUUACGCUAAUACCGCAUACGACCUACGGGUGAAAGCAGUGGAUCUUCUGACCUUGCGCGAUUGAAUGAGCCGAUGUCGGAUUAGCUAGUUGGCGGGGUAAAGGCCCACCAAGGCGACGAUCCGUAGCUGGUCUGAGAGGAUGAUCAGCCACACUGGAACUGGGACACGGUCCAGACUCCUACGAGAGGCAGCAGUGGGGAAUAUUGGACAAUGGGCGCAAGCCUUAUCCAGCCAUACCGCGUGGGUGAAGAAGGCCUUCGGGUUGUAAAGCCCUUUUGUUGGGAAAGAAAAGCAGCAGGUUAAUACCCCGCUGUUCUGACGGUACCCAAAGAAUAAGCACCGGCUAACUUCGUG
rnacentral:rRNA from 1 species